rnacentral:miRNA from 1 species
CAUCAGCACCCUAUGUCCUUUCU